UACGUAGGGUGCAAGCGUUGUCCGGAAUUAUUGGGCGUAAAGAGCUCGUAGGCGGUUUGUUGCGUCGGCUGUGAAAUCCCGAGGCUCAACCUCGGGUCUGCAGUCGAUACGAGCAAACUAGAGUGUUGCAGGGGAGACUGGAAUUCCUGGUGUAGCGGUGAAAUGCGCAGAUAUCAGGAGGAACACCAGUGGCGAAGGCGACUGCCUGGACGGCACCUGACGCUGAGGCGCGAAAGCUAGGGGAGCAAACGGG
rnacentral:rRNA from 1 species